CUAUGCGCCUUGCCAGCCCCGCCUCAGAAACUCAAAGGAAUUAGACGGGGGCCCGCACAAGCGGAGGAACAUGUGGUUUAAUUCGAUGAUACGCGAGGAACCUUACCUGGGCUUAAAUGGGGAGUGACAGCUGUCGAAAGAUGGUUUUCUUCGGACACUCUUCAAGGUGCUGCAUGGUUGUCGUCAGCUCGUGCCGUGAGGUGUCGGGUUAAGUCCCAUAACGAGCGCAACCCUUACCGUUAGUUACCAUCAGGUUAAGCUGGGGACUCUAGCGGGACUGCCACCGUAAGGUGAGAGGAAGGUGGGGAUGACGUCAAAUCAGCACGGCCCUUAUGUCCAGGGCUACACACGUGUUACAAUGGCCGGUACAAAGGGCAGCUACUUCGCGAGAAGAUGCUAAUCUCGAAAGCCGGUCUCAGUUCGGAUCGAAGUCUGCAACCCGACUUCGUGAAGCUGGAUUCGCUAGUAAUCGCGCAUCAGCCAUGGCGCGGUGAAUACGUUCCCGGGCCUU
rnacentral:rRNA from 1 species